UCCUGGCUCAGAUUGAACGCUGGCGGUAUGCUUAACACAUGCAAGUCGGACGGCAGCAUGGUGUGUAGCAAUACACACUGAUGGCGAGUGGCGGACGGGUGAGAAACGCGUAGGAAUCUGCCUUAUAGAGGGGGACAACUAGAGGAAACUCUAGCUAAUACCGCAUAAUGUCUACGGACCAAACGCUGGGGCAACCUGGCGCUAUAAGAGGAGCCUGCGUCUGAUUAGCUAGUUGGUAGGGUAAAGGCCUACCAAGGCGAUGAUCGGUAGCUGGUCUGAGAGGAUGAUCAGCCACACUGGGACUGAGACACGGCCCAGACUCCUACGGGAGGCAGCAGUGGGGAAUAUUGGACAAUGGGGGCAACCCUGAUCCAGCAAUACCGCGUGUGUGAAGAAGGCCUUCGGGUUGUAAAGCACUUUAGGUUGGGAAGAAGGUGUAUUGUUUAAGAGAUGAUACAUUUGACUGUACCAACAGAAUAAGCACCGGCUAACUCUGUGCCAGCAGCCGCGGUAAUACAGAGGGUGCAAGCGUUAAUCGGAGUUACUGGGCGUAAAGGGCGCGUAGGCGGUUAUGUAAGUGAGAUGUGAAAGCCCUGGGCUUAACCUAGGAACUGCAUCUUAUACUGCAUAACUGGAGUACUGUAGAGGGUAGUGGAAUUUCCGGUGUAGCGGUGAAAUGCGUAGAGAUCGGAAGGAACACCAGUGGCAAAGGCGGCUACCUGGACAGAAUACUGACGCUGAGCGCGAGAGCGUGGGGAGCAAACAGGAUAGAUACCCUGGUAGUCCACGCUGUAAACGAUGAGACUAGAUGUCGUAGCUUGACUGCUAGUAUCGAGCUACGCGAUAGUCUCCGCUGGGGAGUACGGCCGCAGUAAACUGAGAUCGACGGGACCGCCAGCGGUGACAUGUGGUAUCAUGCACGCGAGACUUACUACUUGACUUCAAGACUUGGCAAUUGGAUGGCCAAGAACUUGGACGGUCUCAUGGCGUGCCUCACCUGGUUGGAUUUUGUAUCCGUAACGCCACCUUACUUUAUUGCCUAC
rnacentral:rRNA from 1 species